CAGUAUGGAGCAGGCUGUGUGGCUGCUGGGCGUCCUGUGUCUGCAAGUCUGUCUGCUCUCCACCACAGCCCUCCCUGACCAGACAGACGAACAGCAGCCUUACAAACCAACCAAGCCAUGGACCUCUGCCAUUCAGGACCUCUAUACCAGGUGGUGUCAGAAGAAAGCCAUUAACAUUGUCAAAGACUCCAGCCACCCGAGUCAUAGACUGUUCUCUCUGCUAUCGCAUGGCAAGCGGUACCGAUGCUCCAAGUCUGGAACCAACAGGGCCUUGAACAGCUUCUACCCCCAAGCCAUAAGACCGCUAAAUACGGUAAAACUUCAAUUAGUAGCUCAGGCAUUUAUCACUGAACACCAACAGCGCUUAUUGGAGUCUAUUUCCUUAAUUCACACAGCUUUUGCUCAAUAAAAUGCUGAAAAGACCACCGCACUGUUUACUGUGACCAGUAUGACCAGUAUAAACAUUAUAAUAACAAAUCCAUCGCAGAUCAGACUUGCAAAGACUAGGCUGCCUAUCAUACACCCCCAAUUUCACACUUCAGCACCAUUCUCUCACCAGUUUCACCUUGUUGAGCUUUGUAUCCCCCGUAGUUCCAAUCACAUCUGAUAGAAUUCACUAUUCAACGUUUGUCCAGGUCCCCAGGACAUUGUGAGAUGCCUUCAAUACCGUCCACUUGGGGCAACUUAACCAUCAAAGUUAAUUAUGAUUGACCGUCAAUUUUUUUCUGUUUUAACAACCUUUUAACAGCCUUACCUACUUUCUCUUAGACAUUUAUCUCCCCCUGGACAGAUGUUGAAUACUGAAGUGAGACCGUGAGAUCUCGUUGCUAGUUGAGCUGACCAUGUCACCACACUUCUGUUUCAUCCAUGGCAAGGAUGUGGAUCUCCUUUCUCUUCUUUUGCGCAAUCUUUGCACACUCACUGUAGUUCACUCAUAAACAAGAGAAUUUAGACCCUGAGUUUAUUUGAAACAGGCUCUUAUUGGCUGAUACUGUAUGUGUGUCGAUGCCCGACUAUUAAAAAGAACAGGCAGCUAUUUGAGACUGCGUUUAUCUGAAGUUUUACGGUAGUUAGUUAAAUAGUUAACCAACAGCUACCCGGACUAUCUGCGUUGACUCUUUUUUACUCUUCACAUAUGCUGCUGCUACUGUUUUUUUUAUCUAUCCUGUUGCGUAGUCACUCUAUUCCUAGUUAUAUGUACAUAAUUACCUCAAUUACCUCGUACCCCUGCACAUCGACUCGGUACUGGUACCCUGUGUAUAUAGCCAAGUUAUCGUUACUCAUUGUGUAUUUAUUAUUGCCUUUUUAUUAUUAAGUGUUAUUACUUUUCUAUUAUUUCUCUAUUUUCUUUCUCUCUGCAUUGUUGGGAAGGGCCCGUAAGCAUUUCACUGUUAGUCUACACCUGUUGUUUACAAAGCAUGUGAAUAAUAAUAUUUGAUUUGAAUUGAAUUAUAGUAAUAGAGAAUGGAAAUGUACGAAUAGAUGAAUUGCUAUCAUAUUCAUAUUUCUGUGAGGCUUAUGUUCAGAAGGUUUUUUUACUUCCGAUGUUCGUUUCUCAAUAACUAAUUCCUAUUAACAAUGAGGAUGCAAUUGUUGUAUUGGGUAAUAUCCUGCUGAUGUAGAAAUUGUAUGGUGUCAAAGAUAAUACCAACUCCUUAUCUUAUCUGAGGGUACAGUUCCAGUGCUAGAGAAGUUACAUUGCGCCAUUGGGGUUGUCGAAGCAAUUGUCAUGGUAACAUGGUGCUGUCAGCUCCCUACCAAAAACCCAUGUAAUGUUAUUCAUCCACACGUACAAGAGAGCUAUCCAAGCCUACUGUAGCUAGGCUGGCUGGGCUGUCUGUCCACUUUAGUGAAGAUACAUGUUAUAUAAUACAUGAACUCCACUAACAUCACUAAGGUAUGAAAAUAUAUGCAGUCAACAGGAAGGCUCAUGUCCAAUCAUACAGUGAGCACCACCUCAGAUGAGAAACAAUUAACCCACAACUUCAGAAACUGAAUUUCAUAAGAACCACUGUCUGAUUCCACUCUCAUCUGGCCUCAGAGUUCAAGGACUAAGAGGCAGACUGAGGCCGAGGGCCAAUGCAAGAACGGUUGUCUCUCCCUCAUAGGAGAGAUGAGUGGACUCUCCAGAAUGCCUGGGCCUCCUACCGGUUGGAGUUUAAGGAUUAAGAGGCAGAAGAAAUUCAGGAGUGAAUGCAAGAAAAACCAGAAAAUGUGUCGCUCCCGCCCAGGAACCUUCACACUCAUGAAUGCUCCAGAGCGCAGUUGGGUAAAACACCAACAACCAAAGAGGUUGUUAGUAAAGCAGAAGCUGAGAAAAGUGAUGUUUUCUUAUGGUUUGACAAUAUGUAUCACGUUUCAGGUAAGACCCAGAUGCAGAACAUGUUGAAUAAACAACAGUUUAUUAAUCCAACAGGGGCAGGCAAAAGACAGGUCAAGGCAUGCAGGGGUCAGUAAUCCAGAUAGACAGGGCAAAGGUACAGGACGGCAGGCAGGCUCAGGGCAGGCACAAAAGGUCAAAACCAGGAAAACAAGAAAACAGGAACAAUCGAGAGCCAUUGGUUUUGUCUUGUCUUCCAUCACACCUGCUUCCAAUUCCAUCAAUUACAUGUUGUGUAUUUAACCCUCUGUUCCCCCCCAUGUCCUUGUCCGUAAUUGUUUGUUGCAGUGCUUGUGCACGGUAUGCUGGUAUUUUACCGGGUUUUGUUUUACCCAUUUAUUGUAUUGUUCUGUUGACGAUGGUUUAUGAUUAUUAAACACAACCGUUGUAAAUCA